rnacentral:misc_RNA from 1 species
UUUCCGUAGGUGAACCUGCGGAAGGAUCAUUAUUAUAUAACCGAUGUGCGAGCGCUGUCCCUGACCUGAAACGCCGUGCACGCCCGUGUGCCCUCACACACAUCCAUCUCACCCCCAUUUUCACCACCGCGCGGUUCGUUCUCCGGCUGGUUCGGAGGGGGGCUUACGGUUUCACACAAACCUUUUAUUCAGUGAACAAUGUAUUUUUUGUUUUUGAGAUUACUCAAACAAUAAAACUAUCAACAACGGAUCUCUUGGCUCUCGCAUCGAUGAAACACA